rnacentral:rRNA from 1 species
UACGUAGGGGGCGAGCGUUAUCCAGAUUUACUGGGCGUAAAGCGCGUGUAGGCGGCUGGUUAGGUGUGAUGUGAAAUCCUCGGGCUCAACCCGAGAACUGCAUGCAAACCGGCCUGGCUAGAGUGCAGGAGAGGGAAGCGGAAUUCCAGGUGUAGCGGUGAAAUGCGUAGAUAUCUGGAGGAACACCAAUGGCGAAGGCAGCUUGCUGGGACGUGACUGACGCGUGAGACGGCGAAAGCGUGGGGAGCAAACAGG